UACGUAGGGUGCAAGCGUUGUCCGGAAUUAUUGGGCGUAAAGAGCUCGUAGGCGGUUUGUCGCGUCUGCUGUGAAAACUCGGGGCUUAACCCCGGACUUGCAGUGGGUACGGGCAGACUAGAGUGUGGUAGGGGAGACUGGAAUUCCUGGUGUAGCGGUGAAAUGCGCAGAUAUCAGGAGGAACACCGAUGGCGAAGGCAGGUCUCUGGGCCACUACUGACGCUGAGAAGCGAAAGCAUGGGGAGCGAACAGG
rnacentral:rRNA from 1 species